AUUUCCCUAGGGAGUUGGUAUCUCAGUUCAUGGACAAUUCCGAGUGGCUACUGAGAAGUCUGUUUUUUCAAUGCCAGAAACAGCAAUAGGUAAAAAAUCAUUUUUUCAUGAUUACUUUCAGAAUCAUCUUCCUUUGAAACACUUAAGCUUAUACUGUUGUUGAAGGAAUGAAGUAAUGGAAUCUUGUGUGAGAUAUAACAAAGAAAGGUUGGAAAUAUUAUGAACAACUUUAUAAAGGAAAGCAAGCAAGAGAAACCUCACAGUAACUCCAGGUUUAUACCUUGAGUUUCCAGCCUUGGUGUGGUCCUUCAUUUGGGAAAGUUAAGCUAAGAGGCCAAGGAGACCAAGGCAUCUAGAAUUCCCAGAAGAGAGGACCACAGAGGAGAGAGUUGCAGACAGAACUUUGGAGCUCUGAUUCUUGUGUAAGGAGGAGGUAGCCUAGUUUCAGGUCCAGGCUUUGCAAUACUUAGAGGUCAAGCAGAGGAAGUAGAGCCAGCAAGGGAGACUGGAAAGAUACAGCCAGUGGGAGAAUGUGUGUGUAUGUGUAUUAUCCUGGAGGGAAGAAUGUGUUUAAGGAUGGGAGGGUGCUUUCACUUGGGCAGAAUACCAUUGAGUCUCUGGGCAAGAAGAGAAGCAGAAUGUUGGGCAAAUGUAAGAAGGCCACAGUGGCUGGAGUUUAGUGGCUAGUAAGAGAUACAGAAAGUAGUCAAGGGCCCUGAAGGAUUUUGAUAAAGAUGAUUGUUCUUAUCCAAGACAAUCAGGAAACUGUGAGAGGGUUUUAAGGAGUGCAAUACUCUGAUCAAAAUUCGAGUUUUAAAAAGAUCACCCUGGCUAAGAGAAGGUGUCAAGGUGGAUGGUUGUUUCCUUUACUGAGGUGGGUAAUGACAGGAGUGGGGAAGGUCAGGAGUUCAGUUUAUUUUUAUGUACGGUAGCAUGCUGCUUAUUCUCUUAAUUAUAAGAAUCUUUGUCAAGUAGAACUAGAAAGAAUUUUUGAGGUUUUGUUUUUAUCUCAACUUCAUUACGUUAAGUAACCUUAAAAUAGCUGUAUGAGUUAAACAGCUAGGGCAUCACUGUUGUUUAAAGAAGUUCUUAAACACCGAAAAAUAGUAUACUGGUAACUAAUUGUAUAGAUACUACUUCCAAUUGUUGUAAGUAGAGAGGGGAAUUUUAAAAAUACUGAUGGCUAAGGAAAGAGUAAAUGCAUGUGAUUAGUAUCAAUUACAUACUGAUGGUUUAAUAGAAUGAAUGGUAUUGCACUAGUCUUUAAAUAUCUAGAAUAUUAGAUAAUUGAUUAAGUUUCAGAGAUGAUUUAAAUGUUUGUGAUUAAUUUUCCCAUAAUAACCCUUGUAUUAUGUAUUUUUCCCCUAUGUUUAUCAUUUGGAAAGAAUAUUUUUUCCAAUUUUUAUCUAUUUCAGAGAUUCUUAGAAAAGUAAAUUGAUGACAGGAAAAUUUAGGUAGAAUUAUUGAGUACUUCAAGUACACAAAACAAGUAUCAUCCGAUACUUUCUGCCUUCUAUAGAAAUGAGACAUGAAGAUUUUGAAAAUACCCCAAUCAUCACAACUUGUAGUAAGUUCUUUGUGACAUUGGUUAAAUUUAGUAUUUAGUUUAAUAAUAUUUGUAGUGUAGAUUUAUACUCCAGAGAAAUGGCUAUGUGACUUAAAGGAAGGAGGUUUUAUUCACUUCUUAUUUGAGUCAUUGUUAUUUCUCUUUAUUAUGUUUAAUUCCAGGACUGUUCCCUGAUGUGGGUGGAGGUUAUUUCUUGCCAAGACUUCAAGGAAAACUGGGUUACUUUCUGGCAUUGACAGGAUUCAGACUAAAAGGAAGAGAUGUGUACAGAGUAGGAAUUGCUACACACUUUGUAGAUUCUGAAAAGGUAAUUGGAUGUUGACAUGGAAUGUGGAGGUACUAUAAAUGGUUGAAAUAACAGGUUUUUGGUAGACAUGGGUGUGAAUUUUGAUUUAUUGCUUUUAGCUGUGCAACUGUUUCAGUUAGAUUUUUUUGUUGUGACCAAAGGACCUGAAAAGAACUUAGAGAAUGAAAGGUUUAUUUUGGCUCACAGUUUCAGGAGUUCCAUCUAUAGUCAGCCAAUUCCAUUCCUCUGGAUCUGAAGUGGCAGAACAUUGUGGCAGAAGGGCAUGGCAGAGGAAAGCAGCUCAAGACAUGGCAACCAGGAAGCAAAGAGAAGUCUUUGCUCACCAGGGACAACCCCAAAGGCACACCUCCAAUGACCUACCUCCUCCAGCCAUACCUCAACUCCCUACAGUUACUCCAUAAGAUUAACUCUCAUAAUCUAAAUAUUUCACCUCUGAACAUUCUUGAAUUGUCUUAGCUUUUGGAGAUACCUCAUAUCUAAACCAUAACAUCAACCUUGGAGAAGGUGCUUAAGGUUUCCAAUUCUGUUUCCUCAUGCAAAAUGGAGAUGAUAAUACUUGGAUUCAGGGCUGUUUUGCCUGGCAUCUUUAGUGAAUAUUUUUUAAUGAAUAAAUAGAAUGUUAAAAAAAACCUAUGUUAAGAAAAUCUAAUUAUAUGAUAUCUAAAUUUAAAGAUAGGCUUUUAUGAAGACAUUUCUGAAAGAGUCUGUUGUGGUAAGUUUCCCUAGUGCAUUUAAAAUAAUUGCAUUUGUAAAAUAUCAUCUUGACUUCUAUCUAUUUAUUUAUUGUGUAUUGGGAAUUGAACCUAGGGCCUCACACAUGCCAGUCAACUGCUCUACCACUGAGCUACAUCCCCAGCCCUUGGUCUUGACUUUUCUUAAACAUAUCUGUCUUGUACAAGGAAUACAUGUUACUUAUCUUCAUUUUUUUUUUUUUUUCUAGUAGUAUGGCCAAUUUUCUUAGGAUAGCAUAGCAUAGUAGCAAAGAGUAUACAAAUAGACUGAGUUUAAAACCUACCUUGAAUUUAGCCUCUCUGGUUUCCUGGUUUUCCAUCUGCAAAAGGGAGAUGAUAAUAUUUCCAUAAUAAUCAAAACUCUUUGUGUUACAUGUAACAAACCUAAACAAAUUAGAGGUGAUUUUGUCCCAGAAUUCUCAAUAAAAGGCCUGUGAUUUAUUCUACUUUACCUUGCUUAGUUCACCCUGACUUAUAUUAUAUAUAUUUGAACCAUAUGGGUGGGUGGAAUACACUGACUGCCCCAUAGGUUCUGGAUAAUGCACUUCAUCUUUGGAACCAGAGAGUGAAGUCCACUUCUCAGGAAGCAUGUGGUCUUCAAUGAAUAUCUGAUCUUGAGGAAAAGGUGUUUGGAGUUAGAGGAAGGAAUGUUAUAAAAGUUAAAUUAGAAAAUUUGUGUUUCAUGCUUAGCUGUAUAACUGACAUACAGUAAGCAUUCAGAUUUUAACUGUUAGUAUUUUAACACAACUUUCUCUGUGUAUUUAUUUAUUUUUUUUAAGAGUUAACCAGAAUUUUCACUGAGAAUUUCUUGUGUUACACAGGAUGUCCCACUUGUACCCAUGUGUCUACUUUAUAACAUUCUAUUUGGGGCACUGAUACCAGAGAUUGCAUUAAUCAUUGGAUUAUUUUACAAAUGCUUAAGGACUGUUAAAAAUAUAAUUCUUUAAUGUCAUGCAUCCUCUCUGACCUACCAGCCAUUAACAUAAACCAGUUGGAUAGCAUAAAAAUGUAUCAUUUGCUUGCUAAUAGAAUUCCCUUUUUUAACUUUAUAAAUUGGCUGUGCCAUUUUUUAUGUUAGUAAACCUUGAUCUUGGUCCAUUAUGGAUCCUAUGAGGUAUGUGAAGUGUGAGAAAUUGAAGGUUGUUCCUGUACACUGUUAUGAGGGCCUUCCAUCUCAUCUGGUUGAAGUUGCAGAUCUUCCUAUUGUGGGUAUCUUCAGUCACAUUGAGUAAGCAGCUGUUUCAUCCUUCCCUUGAGCCAUGGGCAUUCCAUUGUCCACUCUGGAAGGACAUUCUUGAUUAUAGUAGAAUUUAGCUAAGGAUAAAAGAGGGAAAACUGAUGUGCAGUGCUUUUCUCUGUCAACUUGCCUAAUAAUAAUACCUGUAGCAGAUAAACAGCCAUUCUUAGGACCUAUAGGAAAUACAGAAAUGAGUAAUACCCAUUGAAGAUGGGUUUAGAAGUGGGUACAAAAGGUAGAUAAACACGUCUCAUCUGGCAGUAUAAAGCAUGACACGUAUAAAAACAGGAUACAUGCUAAGAAAGUACUCAAAAUGUUGAAAGAAAGAGCAUACCUGUAAGAAAGGAUUAGAUGGCCUUCCCGUGAAUAUCAUCAGAAAAAGGCAAAUAGAGUAGAUAAACAUAAAUAAAAUAAAUCAACCUCAUGGCCAGGAAAACAUUAGCUAUGUUUUGGAAAUAGAGAAAAGUCUCAUUUAGUUGUAGAAUAGAUAUGUGAAUGACUAGAUGGAGAAGUGGCAGUGAUGACAGUAGCCCCUAGUUAAGUGUGUUAAUUUUACUUAGAAUUAAUUUAAAAUAAAAUUUAUAAAUCAAAUCUUUGAUUACAAUACAGGUUGAGUAUCUUUUAUCUGAAAUGCUUGGGACUAGAAGUGUUUUGGAUUUUGGAUUAGGGAUACUCAACUUGCGCCACAUUUCAAGUGCUCCUUAGUAUCUUCCAUCUCUUAUCUGUUCCUGCUAAGGCAACAUUUGCUGUGUGGGAAUGACUCAGUUUAAGAGAGCAUUUUAAGAUAAGAUUCUAACAAAGAGAGAUUUUUAAAAAAAUGAAAGUUAAUUUUUAAAAAACCUUUCUGUUUCUAUGGGUUUCAAAUGUUUAUCUUUUUAUUUCCCCCGUAGGUGAGCAUGUUAGAGGAAGAUUUGGUAGCAUUGAAAUCUCCUUCAAAGGAAAAUGUCGCAGAUGUCUUAGAAACCUACCAUACACAGGUGAUCUUCUCAAUGC
rnacentral:lncRNA from 1 species